AAAAAAUGAAAGGAAAGACCUUACGGGGAAACCCACCUUGAUCCUGAACUCCUGUGGGGCAGGGAUAGGGGGAGCAAUCCCCACCCGCAACCGACCAGUUGCCAUUAGUAACCUGAUGUGGUGCUUGGGUUUUUCUGUGGGAAUAGGACAACCUGUGAGUAAGCUGCACUAGCUAUUUGAAAGAGAAGUCAUGAUAACAGAAAGUAACUAAUAAUUGUCUGUUGAGGAGACAUACAAGUGCAAUGAGAGCUUAAAGGGGCCAGAAGCCAUGCAUGAGGAUCACAG
rnacentral:misc_RNA from 1 species